UUGUACAUUUCAUUGCAGGGAGAAGCCUCUAAAGUGAGCUUCCAUAAAGUGGCUUUGUUAAGAGGAUUCAGAGGACUCUCACCAAACCUGAGGGCACAGAUUGCAGACAGGCUUCCCAGGGAGCUGCAGCCAGCAGACCCUGAGGACAGAGGCCAGGAACCCGCGGUGUCUCUGCCUCUGGGACUUGAUGGAUGCCUAUGGACUCGCUAAGUCUGGCUCUCCGUGGUUUUUGCCAUACAUUGACAUGAAUCAGCCGUGGAUUUAGACAGAAAGCAUCACUUUAAAGAUGGCAGUUUUGAUGUGCAACCAGAAAGCUAUGUUCAUUACAUUCCUUGAAAAGAGAGAUGGCUGAGAUUCACAUCCCGAGUCCCUGGCCAAUCUUCUACCCACACGGAACUCAACAAGGAAGCAAAAAUGACACAUAGGUGGGAGUGGUCCUGAUGCCAACUCUUAAAGAGGAGCCAACACAUGUCUAAGUUUUCAUGUUCCCAGGGACUGGAUGGUGGUCAACUUCUGCUCUGUGGGACCUGCUUCAAUCACCUUGAAGAGGUAGGAUCCAGUGACAAGGGAAGUGGAGCCCUUUCUGGCCAAAUCUGGGUGAAGAUAUCUGACCACCCAGCAGGAUGCGCUAGCCCAAGACACCAACCACGAGCUACCAAAGGCACAGAGAGAAAGGCCACUGCCUUCAGCACUGAGAGCAAACCAACCUUUUAUGUUCUCUGCCUUGCUCUUCCAUCCUCCACUGAUGCAAGACCAUCAGCCUGACCUGCUCAUGUCCUGGAGGGAGCCACGCCCACAGACAAGGAUACGGAAUGAAUGAGUCCAAGUGAAAAGCAUGAAGAGGGGCCAAGCAAAGAGCCAGACUUCUUCCCAAGGAUGGGCUUUAGUGAAAGAAACAAGAAAAAUUAAAGAAAAAUUCAUAGAAACUGCAGAAAGCUAUACAACU